rnacentral:rRNA from 1 species
UCUCAGUUCGGACUGUAGUCUGCAACCCGACUACACGAAGCUGGAAUCGCUAGUAAUCGCGGAUCAGAAUGCCGCGGUGAAUACGUUCCCGGGUCUUGUACACACCGCCCGUCACACCAUGGGAGUCGGUAACGCCCGAAGCCAGUGACCCAACCUUAGGGAGGGAGCUGUCGAAGGCGGGACGGAUAACUGGGGUGAAGUCGUAACAAGGUAUC